UGUUCCCUACGGGAGGCAGCAGUGAGGAAUAUUGGUCAAUGGGCGCGAGCCUGAACCAGCCAAGUCGCGUGAGGGAGGACGGCCCUACGGGUUGUAAACCUCUUUUGCCGGGGAGCAACGGGCGUCACGUGUGGCGCCGCCGAGAGUACCCGGAGAAAAAGCAUCGGCUAACUCCGUGCCAGCAGCCGCGGUAAUACGGAGGAUGCGAGCGUUAUCCGGAUUUAUUGGGUUUAAAGGGUGCGUAGGCGGAUCGUUAAGUCAGUGGUCAACUUGAGGGGCUCAACCCCUUCCCGCC
rnacentral:rRNA from 1 species